rnacentral:rRNA from 1 species
AUUGAACGCUGGCGGCAUGCUUUACACAUGCAAGUCGAACGGCAGCACAGGGAGCUUGCUCCUGGGUGGCGAGUGGCGAACGGGUGAGUAAUGUAUCGGAACGUGCCUGGUAGUGGGGGAUAACUACUCGAAAGAGUGGCUAAUACCGCAUGAGAUCUUUGGAUGAAAGCGGGGGACCUUCGGGCCUCGUGCUACUGGAGCGGCCGAUAUCAGAUUCGGUUGUUGGUGGGGUAAAGGCCUACCAAGCCUGCGAUCUGUAGCUGGUCUGAGAGGACGACCAGCCACACUGGGACUGAGACACGGCCCAGACUCCUACGGGAGGCAGCAGUGGGGAAUUUUGGACAAUGGGCGCAAGCCUGAUCCAGCAAUGCCGCGUGCAGGACGAAGGCCUUCGGGUUGUAAACUGCUUUUGUACAGAACGAAAAGUCUCUGGCUAAUAUCUAGAGAUCAUGACGGUACUGAAAGAAUAAGCACCGGCUAACUACGUG